GCACACGAACAUGCUAUCAAUAGACUAUAGGAAAAAGAAAUCUAAACAGUGAUCUAUUCCAUCUUCGUAUAUCCUAAACAGAAGAUUUUUCACUAAUAGAACAGGGUAGCCGUUUAGGUGUAAGAAAACCAUGACCAGCCACAACUUUUCUCAUUAUAUCAUCUCUGAACUUCUAGACUGUUGCUUCGCAAAAUUUCCCUGGCCGCAUUACUUGCCUCGUCAUGUGGUUGUUGCUUAUCUGGAAUGGCCUCGGGUCCGAACUAUGAGGGCAGACCUGCAUUUCACACAUUUGUCAAAAGUGUAAUACUGCUGAAACCAAUGCAUCCGUCACAUAUAGAAGUGGAAUCAAACUACAUUUUUCAGAAACCAAAUACAAAAAAUAUUUUGAAGUUAAUAUCAGUGAAAAUUCAAAGAAGUUGGAAUACUUCCGGAGUGAGAGUUCAGUGGACAAAGAGAGAGAUAGGAGCUAAUUUUGUUUACUAACUAUACAUAGUUCAGUACUGUAUCCGACAUAAUCAAAUAAAAUUCAAUAGAGUACUCCUCCAAGCAUUUACACAGACUUGUUGUGAGCAACAAACACCAUGCGAAGUGAGAUGGAGCAUAGGAGCAGCAUCAACAAUACAUGAUAGAGAUUAGAACAGCGGAAGUGGCUAACACGAGUGAAAGCAGAGCAGAGAUAGCAACAGCAACAUGCGUCAGUUUGGAGCAAGAACAAGGAGGAGAGAGAAGAAAUGCCACGGCGGAGAGAGCGGCAACGCAGCGACCAACGACGAGAAUGCUAGGGAGGACGGGAGUGUUGGUGCUCACGCGAUGCGGUGCUCUGCUUGUGCCGGAGCGAGGGGUGAGCUGGGGACGGCGAGCAGGUUGACCACCCAGGAGGACGACAGCCUACAGGGAGCAGCACCACGAGCUCCCUCCCUUGCUGAUGAAGCGAGCAAAUGUGGCGAUACUCG
rnacentral:lncRNA from 1 species